rnacentral:rRNA from 1 species
GAUGAACGCUGGCGGCGUGCUUAACACAUGCAAGUCGAACGAUUAAAGCACCUUCGGGUGUGUAUAAAGUGGCGAACGGGUGAGUAACACGUGGGUAACCUGCCUUCUGCACCGGGAUAGCUCAGGGAAACUUGAAUUAAUACCGGAUACUCCUUCUCUGACGCAUGUCAGGUUUGGGAAAGUUUUUGCGGCAGAAGAUGGACCCGCGGCCCAUUANCUUGUUGGUAGGGUAACGGCCUACCAAGGCGACGAUGGGUAGCCGAGCUGAGAGGCUGAUCGGCCACAUUGGGACUGAGACACGGCCCAAACUCCUACGGGAGGCAGCAGUGGGGAAUUUUGCGCAAUGGGCGAAAGCCUGACGCAGCAACGCCGCGUGGAGGAAGAGGCCUUCGGGUCAUAAACUCCUUUCAAUAGUGAUGAAAAUGACAGUAGCUAUAGAAGAAGCCCCGGCUAAAUACGUGCCAGCAGCCCGCGGUAAUACGUAUGGGGCAAGCGUUAUCCGGAUUUAUUGGGCGUAAAGGGCGCGUAGGCGGAUUAUUA